ACAACACAACACCAAGUACAUAUGAAUGAAAUCAUAAUUUAAAUGGGCGAAGUAUAAAAGACGGCAUACCGCGAAUGAAAAAUGACAUUUUUAAGAAAUAUUGGACGCUGAAGAAUAAUUGCUUGUCCCGGGAUAUAGUUGCAGUCGGACUCAAUGUACGGAGGAGACGACAAAUCUUCAUCACACAGCCAUCCCACAUUUAUCAAAACAAUGUAACUGAAAGUAUACAUCUAUGAAAAAAAACGAAACAUAUCUGAAGAAAACUAAACCGUGGUGACUGAAGAAACUAAUAAUUUUGUGUCAACUAUUUUUGCGCACAUUGUUCAGUUCAUAUAUUGCAACGUAACUUGAUGGAGAAGAGAUCGAAGUUUUACAUAGUCCCCAAGAUCCUCUUUAAAAUCGACUGGCAAUCUAUACGAGAUUUACUUUGGUAUUUUGCCUAACUGUUCUAAUCUUGUGGAAUCCUAAUCUUGUGGAAUCAUGGCACCUAAUAAAACGCCUCUCAAAACUUUUAUGAUAUACUUCUGAGACUUUUUGCUUACGAGUUUGAUCGGCACAAAAUCACAAAAUCACGUUAUCACAACACUGAAUCACAAGGCCAAGGGUUCUCAAAGAUUUCGAUGCCGAAUGACUAUAAAUUUUAAGCGUUCAGACAAUUAAGUCUGCGCAAAAUGAAUACAAUUUACACAACGAAAUAUUUUUUUUCUCGUAAUUUCUGGAAAUAGGCCACCCUAAAUUAUUCGACGCGGCUUAAUCUUGACGACGCCACUCCAGUAUCGUGAUAUGAUAUACUAAAUCGUAAAAUUUUGAUUAGAGGUCAGUGUACCAUGAUUAAUAUGUUGUCAAGAAUUCUAUCAUCAACCCUGAAAAAAAACUACGAUAAUAAUUAUGCAAAGCAAUUCUCGUCAAUUCAAUGGUAAUACAGCCAAAUUUCAUUUCAAACGCAUUUAAUUUCACCGGAGAUUCAUUUUAAAAAAGUUACUCUACCUAAAGACUCUCAUUUUCCAAUAUAUUUUAAUAAUGAAUUUAUAAGUGUGUUCACUGUUUCACUGUUUAUAUCAAAUUUUUGCCAAAAUUCGUUUCGAAAUGU